ensembl:lncRNA
GGUAGCCCCCGCGCCGCGCAGCCGCCAGCUGAUUCCUGUGAAAUAAAGUCUUUUAUUCUUUCAAGAAGAUACUCCACUGAGAGGAGUUGGAGAGUUCUGUAGGCUCCCUGGAAGCGUGGGCCAAAGUCCAGUAGUGGUAUAGGUCAGGAAAAAGGAUUUACAAGUUUUUCUUUUCUAAAGUAUUUUGGCUCCUCCUGGAGGUAAGUGCAGUGAAUUUCUCAGGAUAACACCUCACAGUAACUACACAGGCAUGGUGGUCUGUUUUCGCCAUGGUGCAAUCAGAUGGUGAAGGACUGUCACGAGAUGUUAAGUAAUUCACAUCACAAAACCUAAACCUUGGCAUCUUGAAAUAUUUGUUGGUAUUGUAGCAAUAUUUGCCAUUCUUCUAUCUCUUUAAAUCCACAUCAGUCUUGUCAAAGGAUCUGAGCCAGCUUUUUGCCUUCUGCAUCUUCCCACAGAAGGCCUGGUGUCUUAGGGCAGCACAUGCAACUCAUGUUGCUUCUGCACACCCCACCUUAUCCAGUGCUUCAUUCAUCACAGAAGAAAAAAAUAUAAUGCUCUAUUGCUGCUAUAACCUCCAGUUUAGUUUGUACAUCUGAAGAGUUUUGAUUGAAAAGCACUGCUCUCUUUGUUUUAUUUCUCCAUGUGAAUGCUUUCACUUUGUUGAAGGGGAAAAAGAAAAACAGUAUUAUAUGUCAGAACAGUUGCUGUCCUUAAACUUUAAGGCUAAGCUUAUGCUUAUGUUUGUGCAGCUGAUACCGAGUAAUGAUGGUAAGUAGUACGAUAGGGUGUGUGUUUUCUACAAACGGCAGAAAACAUGGAUAUAAAAUUGUCCAGGAUAAAUCUGCUGACAUAGCAACUACAUACUUUGCUUUUGUAUGUUCGGUAUCACUGAUACCACUUGCAGUGAUUCCUUCUCUUCCUUCCCCCACCUUGUUUCCAUGCUGCUGCUCUGGGUAGGAGGCAAGGAUCCUGCUUUGCAGAUGAAAUUACUUCCCUGUUUUACUGUGUUUCUUUAUCCGAUAAUGUAGAUGCUGCUGAUGUCUCAGUGAAGAGAGAACUGAGGUGAAAAAGUAAUGAAAGGAAUGCUUGAUGUGCCAGACAAGUAAAAUAGUUUCCUACGUUGUAUAGUUCACUUUCAGGAGUUUGGGGGUACCCGCUAUUUGUCAGGCUAGAUUUUACACAGCUUAGAAGCUUGGAAUGUUAAAUCCUGUGUUAUCUCAAACGUAGGUCAUCAUUUUACACUGUUCGUCUGGAAAUGCUCACACCCAUUUACCUUCUGACCCAGCAGGUCUUAACUGUGAGAUCCACAAGAAGCUUAUAGCCAUAUUGCAGAAAUAAGCACUGUCUCAGUGUUCCAUGUGAAAAGACUUAAAGUGACUAAAGAACUGAAGGCCUGCCUUUACUGUGUUUUGAGUACGUGGAUAUACUCUGAUUUAAUGCAUUUUAUGAAAGCUGCUUCAGGUGUUUGUAUGGUCCCGAGCCUGCUAAGCUGUCACAUAUGUCUGCCCUUUGCUGUGCCAGCAUCCUACACUGCAGAAACCACAAGUUUUGUUGCAAAAACGAAUUUGGUCUCAGUGCAAUCAGGUAAGCAACCACUCUGUGCCCUGAGAGUAAGGAGAAGCAGCUGGAAGUCGUGGAAGACGGUGCAGAGAACAAGGAUAAGUAGCAACGUGUGAUGCGUUUGCCUUCUGCAAAGAAGCAGUUAGUACGUUUGUAUGCUUUUCUUGCUUUCAUCGUGGUAAAUUCUUGCUCCUAAUUAAAACCAGAAAGAUUUUGUUGUAAAUUCAGCCUUCACUGGAUAACGUACUGGAAACAUGCCUGCAAUCUGCACGAGAAAUGCGUGCAUGUACCAGAUUGGUGUGUACAACAUACGCAAGAGUGUAAAAGCAUUCCAGGGUAAGUUUUAAGGUGUUUUGGUUUUGUGGAGACACCAUCCACAUCAGCACAGCUCAGAGAGCUGUUAAGAUGUUGGCCAUCUCUCAGGUUGUGUGUACUCACUGUUGGCCCUAUGUAAUUGCCAGCACACAAGUCAGCUGGGUGGGAAGGUUUUCAUAAUGGCUUGUGAAGGUGACACAUGCAAUUUGUAUUUCUCUUGGCACGUAAAUAAGUUUUAAAAUUGCACUUUCUUUGUUGUCUGCAGUCCCUUUGGAUGAAGGGGGAGAGCUGUAGAGUCACAGAGGCACUGCUGCUUGUAGAGCCUGUGAAAAAAAGCAGGUAAAGACGCAUUAAAGUGAGUGCUCUGAUCCUGAGCUUGGAGGAGCUGCCGUGGUGGUUUCCUUCUGUCAUCUACAGAAAUGCUUUGUGCAGUGGUAACAGCUUCAAGGUAAGGGUGUGGAUUCAGCUGGGUGUAGUAGGUAAGUAGGUCCGUGUGGUGUGAAAACACAGGUUAAGAAUGGGAGGGUUGCGUAUCUAAGUGUUUGUAAAUGAAAUGGAGGGGGGAGGGGGGGAAGCAAUUGUUAAAUCUCUGGAAGACCUCAGGAUUCCUGUGAUAACUUUAUUAUAUUCUGUUUUUCAGCACAAGAAGAGCCUCUUCAGGUGUUGUGGACGUGUAACUGCUACUGAACUGCAGAACAUAAUAUGAGGUGGGGGGUGGACAGGCUACUCCAAGUCAUGGCCUCACAGAAACAGUUUCAGUAGAGAGGAAACCUCACAUUCUCUUGGAACUUCCAUGAAUUUAAGUGAGGACCCAUUGGCAGUGGUGAAACAGGAAGUUAGUUCUAUUUUUGACACUGGUCAUGGGGAUGAGGGUAGUGAACUUCAUACUUGUUAAUCAGCACACAGUGAUGGGCCUUGGCAGAAGUGCAGGCUGAGCCCAGGAGAUUACAGUCGUGGGGAAACUCAGUUUCCCAACCAACAGUGGCAGAAACUUCCUGAGUAGAGGGAAUGGAUGAGCAUCUGCUGCUCAGCUGAAUAGGGAUAGUUCUCUUGAGGCCACAGAUAGAGUCACACAGUCCAGAACUACCCUCAGAGCUUUAGUCUUGGCCCACCCAGCUCCUGCAGAGCUAUGGGGACUGGAGCACCGUGCUGAAGAUAACCCUCAGCACACCUUGCUGGGGUCCGGGCCUGUAUGGAAGCCCUCUGGUUGGCUGUGUCCCAGCUUUCACAUACCCAACAAGAACCUCAGCGCUUCUGAGUAGAGCAAGUUAACACUUGGGAUGCACCGAUAUAGCUGUAGUUUGUGCGUGCUGUACUCAUUAGCAUGACUUGAUGAGAGCUUGUGUUGUACAAAGCAAGUUGGGUUUUGAGGUUUGCUCACUGCACACCCCACUCUAUUGCCAGUAGACAUGGGGAGAAGCUCUAACCCUGGGUUUGUACCACAUCUCACUGGGGAGCCUGUGGGUGCCUGUGCCACAAACAGUCUGUGAGCUGACAAAUCCUUAAGCAUGGUGGCAGUUCUCAUGCUUGUGAAAAACGAGGGGUAAGGGGGAUAGGUAGGGGUUCUUCCUUUCAUGAAUGACAAACUACUGAAAUCCAAAGCUCACUGAAAAUAACCUUCUAAAAAUGAAAUUGGAAGGUGUGAUUAAGGCGGUAUGAUCCUUCAGUUACAGCAAACUUCCAAUGCUGUUCUUUGUCUCUUGUGUGGUUCACAGAAAAAGUGGAUGUGUAACAUAGGUAAGACUUGCUGGAAUUUGCGUGGAAUCAUGCAUUGCUGCAAGGAAAUCCUGCAAGGAAACUGCUAAUGCUGGAGUCCCUGGUUAUGUGUAACAGUAUACUCACUUUCUCUGGCUAUUCAGAUGCAGUGGCAUGAAGUUACGCAUUGGUUUUGGUGCCAUUCAUCUGAAAAUCCAAACGUUUGCAGUGUGAGUGCGUUAACAGCAAUGCAGUCAAAGCAUUCCUUAACGCACACAAGCCAUUUCCUUUUGGGUGACAGUGCAAUGUGAAGAAGCACCCAGCUGCCAGGAGGUGUCACUUGGUAGCAACUCCUGUGCUGGAAUCCCCUGAGUUUGCUGCUCCUCUCUUUGACGGAGGUUUCAUAUCAUAAAUCAUAGAAUGGCCUGGGUUGGAAGGGACCUCAAGGAUCGCAAAGCACCGAACCCCCACAUGGCAUGCAGGGCUACCGACCUUCACAUUUAGUACCAGGCCAGGCUGCCCAGGGCCCCAUCCAACCUGGCCUUGAACACCUCCAGGGACGGGGCAUCCACAGCCUCUCUGGGCAGUCUGUUCCAGCACCUCGCCACUCAUAGUAAACAACUUCCCCAGUAUCCAACCUAAAUCUUCCCUCCUUCAACUUAAAACUAUUUCCCCUUGUCCUGCUGUUAUCUACCCUUUCAAGGAGUUCACUCCCCUCCUGUUUAUAGGCUCCCUUUAGGUACUGGAAGGCUGCAAUGAGGUCACCCUGCAGCCUUCUCUUCUCCAGGCUGAACAAGCCCAGCUCCCUCAGCCUGUCUUCAUAGGGAAGGUGCCCUAGCCUUCUCAUCAUCUUUGUGGCCCUCCUCUGGACCUGCUCCCACAGCUCCCUGUUGGGUUUUCCCAAAUUAUUUCACUAUGUUGUCAUUCAUUGGCUCUUUCCCACCUCAUCACGUACCUGACUAUUUUGUGUUUGGUUUUGCAAUUUCUCUGCAAAUACCUCUUCCUGGAAAACAGAAUAACAGUAAGUAGCUCAAGCUGCUGGCCAAGCUUCCAUUCCUGUGGUUUCACUUGCUCUGUUCUGUCAAGUUAUUUACAUGCAGCGUCCUAAGGAUAUAAUUGAGUGGAGUGCUAGUAAGCACUAACCUUUGUGUCUGCCCUCAGUCCAUGUAGGUCAGGCUUACCCAAGCUGUUUCCUACAGUGAAUUCACUGCCUACUCCUGGAGCCCUUGGUUGCACUAUUUCAUGAAAGCAGCAUGACCUGCUCUUGCAGGAACUACAAAAAGGGCAGAUUAGCAUCAGUCUCUUUACCUGCUGUGUUGCACAACCCAGAUCUGUUCUGAACCUUGCUCUUGCAUACACGAGCCCUAGGGUGCGCAAGUGAAAGGCAUUAUCACAUCUUAACAGCUCUGGUGUGCUUCAGUAUAGGAGAAAGAUUUCAAAGGUAGGCCAGGUGUUUGAGAUUGACUAUUUACAUUACCUUGCUCAAAACAGAGCUGCCAGCUUAUUCCCUGUUCUGAAUUCAUCUGUACCAGAGCCGUCUUGUACUCGGAGCCUUUUGGGGCAUGCAUUCCCCAGGCUUUGAAUUCCGAGAAUGCAGCUGUGUGAUUCAGACUGGAUGGCACGGCUCAUUUAAGGAGUUCGGUGUUAUCUUUUGUCCUUUGCUCUCCUGUGCCACACCGCACUGUGCCUGGCAUGCCAACAGGUCUGUCUGUAGCAGCAGGGUGAUUAGCAGGCUGUUACAUGUCCAGCCCCAUGCCUGCUUUUCUUUAGCCGAAGUUGGAAGUGUAGGAAGUUUGUGCAACUUCUCUAAAAGCCUGGAGGGGAUCAAUGAGGUACUUGAGAGCGUUUGCAACAUGGCAGCAAAAGCUGGUGAUCAGGCACGCAGCAAAACUCAGUCCUUGGGUUGCUGCAGCCUUCAUCUCAUUAAACCAUGCACCUAAUGAUGGGGUUUGGUUUGUAGGGGAGGAGCAGCAACACGUCCCUUGUGUAUGUGAUGGUUAAUGGUGUUUUUUCCUGCUUUAGGUCUUUGAUGCGUGACUGCUGGGUGUUUCGCUGUGUGCUGCCUCCUGAGCAGGCUUGAGGAACCCUGAUGUCUGUGAGCAGCAUUGGUGAUGCUAGGUGUAGUCAAGCAAAUGAUGAGAAAGCUAGACUAAGAUGUGGUGUAGGUUUCCCAUAGUUUUGUCUUUUAUAACUGUUACAGAGGGUACACAUUUAUUGUAUGACACAACUUCUUACAAUUAAGGAUUUACAUGUUACACCUGCACACCUAGCCAAAUACACCCUUUCUAUUUAAUGGCAAGGUAGAUUUGCACGGAGAGAAAUGGGUAGUCAGCCAUUUCAUGUAUAGGAUGGGUGUUUUCCAUGUCAGUGUUUUUGCACUGCCCCCUGAUAAGAGUACACAGUGGAAUUCCUUACCAUGCAAAUGUGUUCUACUGUCUCCACUCUGGUGACGGUGAAUCGUGUCCUCUGUGAGCCUUUGCUUUCACUGUAGCCAUUUCUGCUGAAAUAAUCCCCAGAGGGAUUAUUGCUGUCAUUAGGCUUUCUGGAUAAAUGAGAGGCAGAUGCGGUCCUUGUGUGAAUUGGCAGGAGGGUGUUGCACAGCCAGGUGGGUGCUGCAUCUCACCUGGGAUGUAGAACAGUGUCUUGUUAAUGAGUUUGUCCCAGUGAAGUCCAUUAACCCUCCUGCAGAUCCCUGCCAGCUGAAAGCUCCAUUCAAAUCCUGGGUAGUGGGGUGACCACUGGCCCAAUCCUCCCCGCUAUAUGUAUUUAUAAUAUAUUGCCUGUAUUUCUUGAUACAAUUUUUAUAUAAAUCAAUAAGUCAAGGGAGUCAAGGAAAAAUAGGGAAGUAUGAUGUGCUGCUGAGAGAAUCCUGGAAUAGAGUGGCAGUUCCCUGUUGAGAACAGCUCAGAGGUGUCCUGGACAAUACAGUUUGUGUGCAUGUUUCUGCUUUGUUCAAGUUUUUAAUCCCAUCCGUCUUUCCGACUCUCAUCCCUGAGAAGGUCCUUUGGCUGUGGAUUAACCUUGUCAGGAGAACCAAGGCAUGUGACAUGCUUGGCGACAGGGGCAGGUACGUGUGGGGCUCUCCCAAGUUGCUGUCAGCACCUCAGCUUUGCAGAUCUCCAGAAUGGAUGAUGUUGCUGCCACUCAUUCUGAGUGGUUGCUGCCUCAUUUAUGUGAGUUUGAUGGUACGUCAAAUAUCCAAACCUCUUGCUACAAUUCAUUAUCUGAAGGUAAAUUUAGGCACAAGUCAACAGCCAAGAUCCUUGGCUUUGAAUACGCUUGCCUUCCUGUAACACUCAUUCAUUCAAUUUGUUCCUUUGUUCCCAUCCACCACUCAUGAAGGGCUUUUGGAGUUGUCACUGUUUCAUUCUAGAUAACACCCCAGUUGUCCGUGCUUGUUCUUUUCUGUAGUAAUUCCUGUUGGCUGCACAGCACUUCACAGUCAGUAUUCACUGUGCAUGAGAGCCCUCACACAGUCCCACAUUUGGAGCUGGUGGCUGCACUCCUCCAGCUGUUGCAUCUCAUCAUCCUAGGAAAGAAAAGAAGGAAGGUUGGAUGUGUUGUGAUCAAAUGCUCUUCCUUUGCCCUAACCUGGAAAUCUUGCAGGAGGGUUCUGAAAUCUUUUACCAAGUAGGAAGGCUCUGAGCUUGAAACACAAAUGUGGCACCACUCUUUUUCAGACGCUCCUUCAGAGAGGUGUUGAGGGGAACAGAGUUUGAUCCUUUCUUUUUAGCUGGUGUUUCAGUUAAUAACCUGAAGAAAAACCUUCCGUUUCAUACCAUCAUUUUAAUGCAAAGGCCAAUAAGUGACAUUUCUUAGGCAUUUGUUUCAUGCUUUAUGUUACAGCUGCAUGUAUUCACGCAUUUACUCAAACAUUCAUAUAGAAUCAUCUAAUCCUUAGAGUUGGAAGGGCCCUUUGAAGGCCAUCUGGUCCAACUCCCUGCAAUGAACAGGGACACCACAGCUCAGUCAGGUUGCCCAGGGCCUGAUCCAGCCUCACCUUGAAAGUCUCCAGGGACGGGGCAUCAACCACAUCACAAGGCAACCUGUUCCAGUGCCUCACCACCCUCGCUGUAAAAGACUUUUUCCUUAUAUCCAGCCUGAAUCUCCCCUCUUCAAGCUUGAAACCGUUUCCCUUUGUUCUAUCACAACAGACCCCGCUAAAAAGGUCUCUUUCUUCUUCCCUUCUUUCCUUUUGUUCACUUAUCUAAUGUUAAAAUUGGGCCAUAGGACACAAAAGUUGUUGAGCUCAAGCUUCAGAGGACCUGGUUCCUGCAGUGGUACCUUCAGGGGGUAAAUCACUUAUGCCUCAGGACCGUGCUGUGUGCUGGAUGGCUUCUCUAAGUAGCUCCUUCCAGUUCCUCAACUGAUGACACCUGGGGUUGAAUAGUAGACCUCUAUAGUCAUGUGCCUUAAGGACCUCACAGACACAAGUGCCAUGCUGAAGGUAUCAAGUGAAGGCACAACUCAAGUGUCGCUGGAAACAAAGCAGUCACCCCUGAUGUGCAAUGGUGCAAAGACUUUGCAGCUAACACAGCCCUUCUUUACAGUGUUCUUAAGACUAUUAUCCCUUGGAAAGCUAUUUAAUAACAUUUUUUUGUAAAGAGGAGUUCCAAAUACCUCAGUGCUUUACAUCUAUAGUAGUUCUUCUCCCCCAUCACAGACCUUCGUGGGGAUGACUGUAUGUAUAGCACUGGCAGUCCCAGCAAUGUUUGGCUGUGGCUGCAAUGGGAACAGCGUGGCUCCCCAACUGCAGAGCCGCAGUACACAUAAUGCUAACAGGAGAGGGAGGGGCUCAGCCCUUCCCAAGGUUCCCCCUGCUCAGGUCACACCUCUGAAGCCUUCAGUGUAUGCAGGUACUGCACAGUGCUGCAGAGUGUGUGUCAGAUGUGCGGGUCCCUGCUUGCUUUGACAUGAGAGAAGCUACUUCAGUUGCUGCUUCCGUUCAGGACCAAAAUGCACAAAAGAAAUAGCAGAAUAAAAUGGCAGCACUCUGGCAUUGAUUAGGGACCACAACUAAGACACUGUUGUUAGAUUUGUGCAUGAAAUUAGUGGGGCAUCACCAGAUUUGAGGCGUGUAACGCAUGCCCGGUCCAUAGCUUUGCUUGCAGCCUGCAAAGAGGAUCGUGGACAUCCCAGCACCUCUUAUCCUGAUUUGAGAAUCUAGGUUUGUAGAACACAGGAUAGCCAAAGCCUGAUCCCAAAUGUUAUUUGUGUACGUAUAAUUAUUCUCAGGUGGAAUCCACCUAUUUCUGACAGCUAACGACUAGACAGUUAAUUAUGUGACAACUGUAAUGCCUCAAUUCUCAUGCUGCGUUACAGGGAAACUAAUUUCUCUCUUGAGAUGUCUGAUCCUCUCAGCUGACUACAGAGGGAGCAGAAGUUAGGACAGCUCAAAGGUACCCACACAUCUACCUUAAGUAAGCCUCACCCAGCAUGUCUGCUGGCUGAUGUUACUAACAUUGGGUAAUGCCUGCCUCAUCUCUGAAGGUCUGUAGGUGUUUAUCAUAUUGUGUGGGAUCUCAUUUCAUAGCUGAUGACAUAAACCGCGACAGUUACUUAUGUAAUUAGCAGAUAGUCAUUAGCUUUUGUAAAAUCAGUAGAAUUCCACAUGGGAGCAAUUGCACAAGUGUUAGUAGUUCAGGCUGUUGUUGACUGGAGAGCUGUUAGGAAGUACCUAAUGAACAGCAAUAGUUCAUGGUGAUGGAAAACUUACCAUGUUCUAAUACAGAGUGUUUCAUAUUCUGUAUUGGAUGCUCUAUUGGGAACUCUCCUACUGUAAUGCCUUUUUAAAAGAUAUAGGGGGAAAAAAAAGCACAUUUGAACAAAAACUCAAAAAUUUCUAUCCUUGGUUUCAGUUCAGGAGGUGCGUUUUCAAAACUGAAUUCCUGUCUAAAGUGCUCUAAGUCGCAAAAAAAAUACCAGCAGUCUUCAUUUUGAAUGGUUCCAGAUGUACAACACAGAUGAGGCCAUAGGAUCUGCUACGGUAGAUAACACCCUUAUCAGUUUGCAGAAAUAGAGCAAACGAGAGACCAACUCCAGCAGAAGACUGAAGAUUUGCAAAGCAUCUUCCACAGUGCCUACGAACAGCAGAUUAUUUCUGGCUCUCCAUUCCACAAAACGCAGGUAGCAGCAAACACACACAAGCAGGAUCUGUGUCCUUGCCUUCUGCAGGCCUGAAGCCUUUUGAACCAGCUCCAACACUGUCCAAAGUGCAAGAAGGGUGGUUGAUUUAAUUGAAGGCAGAUAAAUGCUAUGGGAAUGAUUAAAAGGAUUCAAGGAACAGAGUCAGAAAGAUAAAACGAGCUUAUUGCAGGCAGGGAUAUAUUCAUGGCAUCAGUAUAUGCUGUGGCUCUUCCAGUACACUUUCCAGUCUACACAAGGCCGUGCAGAGCUACCUGCAGGAUUUUAAGUGUGCCCAUUGCUUGAGCUCUGUUUGAGGUUAACAAUAUGGAAAACCUGGUGUGUGAUUCCUUGCUGCAAGGACCUGCUGGUGUACAUGUGGGCUUUCAGGUUAUGGAAAUGACCCAUUAUUUAUAAAAUAGCUUCUUCCUGUUUGCAGUGAUGCAGUGAAAUACUGAGUCAUCUCUAAACCUUUAGCCUUCCCUGAACAGCCUUUCUCAUUUGCGGCAUCUUACAUUUGGGUUGAUAGCAGUAGAGAGGAGAUUUUACUUGAACAUAUCACUUAUGGAUGAAUUGCUGCACCUGUAAAGAAAGCAUGUCCUGGAACUGCACUUCAGAUCUGUAGUUAUCAAGACUGACUUCAUUCCAUACACAAACUCCUCUGGUUUUAUAGGACUUACAGUGGUAUGUUGGUAUGCCCUAACUGUGCUUUAAGUGCAUCAUGGCAGUAACCACUCCUGUCCUCAGUUUUUCCAACAUGGAAAAAUGGGCAGCUUCCCACUUCUCAUAUUGACUUGAAGUGGUUUCUUGCCCAAUAACAAGAUUGCUUUGUGUUGCAUGCCAAGAUACCCAAUUCUCUUCCCACAGAGCAAAGCGCCUGGGGCCUAAGAAGUUCUGGCUUCAGCUGGGAGCUGUACUUUAUUUCUCUGUCUUUUUCAACCUUUUUCAAUCUCUGCGGAACGCUGUAGAACAGAAUCAUAGAAUCACCAAGGUUGAAAGAGGCCUACAAGGUCAUCCAGUCCAACCAUCUACCUAUCACCAGUACUUCUCACUUAGCCACGUUCCUCAGUCUGACCCUUUAAGGGAUGAAAUGGAGGAGGCAUCUGAAAACAGAACGUAAAUCCUUUCCUCAGAAUUGCACAGUUGGGAAUUAUAUCCCUUGUCUACAGAAUAUAGCACAGGUUAAAGUAAAGCAUGAUGGUUGCUCCCAUUUCUUGCCAAGGCAGAAUCUUUGAAAAUCUUUGGCAAGAGAAAUGUGGAUGUGACAUGCUGCUUUUUCUCGUGGAACAUUUUAAUGGCAGCGCUCAGUUUUCCCCAGGGGACCUUCCUUCCUCGGAGCAGGAACUUGUCGCUGCUUAGCUGAUUUAGAUGUGCCUUCUGCCAAAAUCAGCAAGGAAGGAAUGGAUGGGAUGGACAUUAGCAAUAGGGAAAUCUUGACAUGUCUGAAGAGAAUGCAUGCUCGGAGGAGGGGCUUCUUCUGUUUCCAAAAGCGAAGUUUUAUCUGCAAAACAAGCUUUGCUUUUCCUGCAGAUGUCUCAUCUCUGCCUCGCGGCAAUGCUGUGAUGAUGUUUCAUCUUGUGAGAAGCCAAGGGGAAGAGAACUUACUAUAGUGAAAACAUCUACUCACAAGCUAUUUAAACUGAACUAAAACAAGCACUACAACCAGCUGGGACUGCAAUGAUUAAAGUCUCCGCAGUUAUUACAGGGUUUGGUUUUCUACUGAAACAACACAUGCUGCAGACUAAGAUGAAGGAAGGAAGUAUGCACUGGUACAAUAGCAGACAAAAAUACCACUCAUUACCCUUCUGCUGACUGGCCAUGAGUGGCUUCGGAUAGACACGUCUGUCUUCUAAGAUAAAUCAGCAAUGCAAAGCCCAAGUGUAUAUAAAAAAUGCCAUUUUUUUAACACACAAAGAUCAAUUUUAGAGCUGUGGAGGUGCUAAGCAGCAUGCGGAGCGCUUGUAUCUCUCAGAAAUUUAGCUGAACCAAGUACCUAGGAAGCCAUGAGCAGACUGAAAGCAGCAGUGAAGCUGCAGGGCAAGCUGUCAUCUUCUUCUCACUUGUCCCUGAAAUGCCCCGACCAAAAUGAACCAUAGAAGCGUCUUAGAAUCAUAGGAUGGUUUGGGUUGGAAGGUCAUCCAGUUCCAACCCCCUGUCAUGGGCUGGUUGCUACCACCACACUGGGCUGCCCAGGGCCCAUCCAACCUGGCCUGGAGCACCUCCAGCGAUGGGGCAUCCACAACUCUCUGGGCAGCAGUGUCAAGGCCUCACCACCCACUCAGCAAAAUAUUUUCCCAACAUCCAAUCUAGAUCUCCUCUUUUUUAGUUUAAAACCAUCCGCCUUGUCCUAUCUCUAUCUGCCCAUGCAUAAAGUUGAUUUCCUUCCUGCUUAGUAGCUCCCUUUAAGUACUGGAAGGCUGCAAGGAGAUCUCCCAGGAGCCUUCUCUUCUCCAAGCUGAACACACUCAGCUCCCUCAGCCUUUUUUUAUAGGAGAGGCCAGCCCAUGUCUUCCCGAGCCAGAACGGCCCCUCACACACAAAGAGGAAAACAUAGGAGGCUUUUAAAAGCUGAUGGCUGGGUUGAAAGACUUGAAUUGACAAGAAAAGAAUGGCUGUGAGGAGAUACUGUACUGAAUAAAUAUUAAUUAUUUUUGUAAACCCCAAUGGAUGCUAAUAGUGGUCUUGCAUUUGCAGUGUCGUCCGGAAGGCAGAACCCUCACACACAGCGUGUGGGAGUGCACAGAUGAACAGGAGUCUUCAUGCAUGAAAAUGGGCGUAUGUAUUUCAUGAACUAGAUUGUUCAGCAGAUUUUGCUUAACCUGCUUUGCACUAUGCCACCAAAAUGAGGACAACUGCAGACGUGUAUGUAAAGUGGCAAAUAUUAGCAAAAUUAAUUCCAAAGCAUGACCUCUUUCAAGGCACUUUACAAACAAAUAGUAAUAAUGGGGCCACAAUUUAGUGAUUUCUAAGCUAUCUACAUUGAGUUUUGAAAUGUAUCUGAAAAUGAGUGCCAUCAAAGAACACAACGGAAAUUGGGCUCUGCCUUCCCAAAUUCUUUUAAGAGUUUCCUGGAAAAAAAAAAAAAGAGUGCUGGGAUGGGCACAGCAGCAGGUGCAGGAGGACAAGGCAGACAGAGAGCAGUGUGUGUGCAUUAUCUGCUCCGGCAGCAGGGACCCAGUGUCACGUGUAUUGUGUCACCAAGCCACAGCCAGAGAGGAGGAGGGCAAGCCCUGCUUGUUAUAGCUGUUAAAGCCAGAACACCAUUUCUCAUAGUGAAAUCAUAGAAUCAUAGAAUGGCCUGGGUUGAAAAGGACUACAAUGAUUAUCUAGUUGCAACCCCCCUGCUAUGUGCAGGGUCACCAACCACCAGACCAGGCUGCCCAGAGCCACAUCCAGCCUGGCCUUGAAUGCCUCCAGGGAUGGGGCAUCCACAACCUCCUUGGGCAACCUGUUCCAGUGUGUCACCACCUGCUGUGUGCAAACUGCUGUUGGAGAUGAUUCAGCCAUCAUCUGCACGUUAAAUGUCUGAAAAGACCUUUCGUUACCACAUCAAGCACUGCCAGAGGACCACAUCAAACUGCUACCAUGGAGUAACAGUGAGAUUCAAAGCUGUGGCACAGGCACUGUAGGACCGCCUGGCACUGAGCUGAAGGUGCAACUACUGUCUGCGUGCAUCACUGAAUUGGCCUGAGACCAAACUACACACUUAAUAUCCAACAGCCACCAAUGCCCAGUGACAUGUUAACCACGUCAAUAAACAAUUAGCUAAACAGGUGCUGGGUUCUCCUGGUUAAAAGAAAACCAGACCUUCAUUAAAUUCUAAGAUAAGGUUGGAAAAAGAAUUGUUUCUGUAAUCCAGUUAUCUGCUGCAUUAAUUUGGGAACUGGCUAAUUUCGAUCGCUUGAUUUGUU